AGAGUUUGAUCAUGGCUCAGGACGAACGCUGGCGGCGUGCUUAACACAUGCAAGUCGAGCGGAAAGGCCCUUCGGGGUACUCGAGCGGCGAACGGGUGAGUAACACGUGAGUAACCUGCCCUAGGCUUUGGGAUAACCCUCGGAAACGGGGGCUAAUACCGAAUAUGACUUCCUGCCGCAUGGUGGGGGGUGGAAAGUUUUUCGGCUUGGGAUGGACUCGCGGCCUAUCAGCUUGUUGGUGGGGUAAUGGCCUACCAAGGCGACGAGGGUAGCCGGCCUGAGAGGGCGACCGGCCACACUGGGACUGAGACACGGCCCAGACUCCUACGGGAGGCAGCAGUGGGGAAUAUUGCACAUUGGGCGAAAGCCUGAUGCAGCGACGCCGCGUGAGGGAUGACGGCCUUCGGGUUGUAAACCUCUUUCAGCAGGGACGAAGCGUAAGUGACGGUACCUGCAGAAGAAGCGCCGGCCAACUACGUGCCAGCAGCCGCGGUAAGACGUAGGGCGCGAGCGUUGUCCGGAUUUAUUGGGCGUAAAGAGCUCGUAGGCGGCUUGUCGCGUUGACUGUGAAAACCCGCAGCUCAACUGCGGGCCUGCAGUCGAUACGGACAGGCUAGAGUUCGGUAGGGGAGACUGGAAUUCCUGGUGUAGCGGUGGAAUGCGCAGAUAUCAGGAGGAACACCGGUGGCGAAGGCGGGUCUCUGGGCCGAUACUGACGCUGAGGAGCGAAAGCGUGGAGAGCGAACAGGAUUAGAUACCCUGGUAGUCCACGCUGUAAACGUUGGGCGCUAGGUGUGGGGGACCUCUCCGGUCUUCUGUGCCGCAGCUAACGCAUUAAGCGCCCCGCCUGGGGAGUACGGCCGCAAGGCUAAAACUUAAAGGAAUUGACGG
rnacentral:rRNA from 1 species